rnacentral:lncRNA from 1 species
UAUAGCCAUGAGCCAGGAGAGAGGAUGAAGCAAGACUUUCUAUAUCUGCACCAUGGCUGACAGCCAUUCUUUUGUGUUCUUCCUACAUUAAAGAUGAAAGCUACUGCUAUGUUCAUGAGAAAAAAAAGAUUAAAAAUUACCACAUUUAGCAUGUAUAAGUAUUGAGAGGUUCCACUGAGGCUACAGUUAGAAAAGAAAAGCAAAAUAAUUUGAAGAUUCCCAAAUUAUCACUAGUUUAAAAGUAGUCAUGAAAACUGGUUUGAAAGAUAGCAAAAAUGCUUUUAAAAGCAUCCCCUAAAUCCAUAGCUAAGUAUCAGGUUGACUCCACGGGACUGCAACUUUUAAGUUGACAAUAAGACACAAAGCUCUCUCGAUAAUUCUAGCUUAUGUCUCAUAGACACUUGUGAACAGUCUUUGAAAGUUUUUCUGUGGCCUGUAACAGCUUUUGUUUCUUAGGACACUUGGUAUCAUAAGUAUAGAUAUGGUCAUUAAAUGUUAAUAAUGAUACCUCAUAUUUAUAUGACAGCUUUCAUCCAAGGACCUCAAAGAACUGAGCACGCAUUAACUCACUAAUUCCCAUAGAGCCAUGAGGUAAGAGUUAUUAUAUCCAUUUUACUGAUGAAGGAGCUGAGGCACAGAGAACCUAAAUAAAUUAAUUUGCUCAAGGUCACAUGGGAUGUUAAAAUUUUAACGAAGAAUAGGUCUAGUUCUCAUGUUCUCUGUUAAUGUUUGUCUGAAAAGUUAUCUACUUGUUUUCAGAGGUUUGUUGGGGGGGUUUCUCCCCUCCUCUAUUUCCUCCUAGUGAGUUGUGCUAAGUAAGCAAUUAUGAAAAGGGAAACUUUUCAAAGCUUAAAAGCAAAUUUCUGGAGUUCCCUAGUGGCUCAGUGGUAACAAACCCAACUAGGAUCCAUGAGGAUGUGGGUUUGAUCCCUGGCUUCACUCAGUGGGUUAAGGAUCCGGCGUUGCUCUGAGCUGUGGUGUAGAUCGCAGAUGCAGCUCAGAUAUGGUUUUGCUGUGGCUGUAGCGCCAUGUUGGCAACCUACACCACAGUUCACGGCAAUGCUGGAUCCUUAAUCCACCAAGCAAGGUCAGGGAUAGAACCUGCAACCUCAUGGUUCCUAGUUGGAUUCAUUAACCACUGAGCCACGACGGGAACUCUGGUUCUGAAUUUCUUUUUAUAUUGAACUGAUGCCUGACCUCAAGGUCUUAGUCUUGCCCUCUGGUGUGAUACAGAACAAGCCUAAUCCCU